GUUGGUGAUUUGACGCUGUGGGUACACCUGUUCUCAUUCCGAACACAGAAGUUAAGCGCAGUAGUGGUGAUGGUACUUCGCAAGAGGGAGAGUAGCUAGUCGCCAACA
rnacentral:rRNA from 1 species